rnacentral:lncRNA from 1 species
UCCUCCUCCUCCGCUUCUGGCUUCUCCUCCUUCUUCUCAGGCUCAUCACAACAACUUUUACACCUCCUCCUCCUCCUUUUCUUCUUCUUCUUCUUCUUUUUUUUUUUUUAUGGCGUCUCGCCCAGCCUGGAGUGCAGAGGCAGUCUUGGCUCACUGCAACCUCCACCUCCGGGGUUCAACUGAUUUUCCCGCCUCAGCCUGCUGAGUAGCUGGGAUUACAGGCACCCUCAUCAAGUCCGGCUAAUUUUUGUAUUUUUAGUAGAGACAGGGUUUCACCAUGUUGGCUAGGCUGGUCUUGACCUCCUGACCUCGGGUGAUCCUCCUGCCUCGGCCUCCCAAAAUGCUGGGAUUACAGGCGUGAGCCACCACGCACGGCUUCUGUUGUUCGUUGAAAUCAUCAUUUUUCUAAUGUCCUCAUUCUCUGCUGGCUAGUUUAAGGGCUGAUUCAAAAAAUAAAUUUUCACACUGUGAAAUACGCAAGAUGAAGAGAACAUUUAUAAAAUAUCCAUACUGUGCAUCUCUGAAUAAUCUUUUCUUCACAUCAGCGGCAGUACAAAUUAGGUGGAGUUUUAAAAGAUACUUCAGCAACUUACAGAUUACAGCAUGUUAUGUAUCUUCAAGAUAUUUUGCUUCAUUGGUGUGCUUGAACAUUUCUGGAUUCCUAGACUCCCAGAAAGCAGUGAGAGGAUAUUACGUUGCAGAAUUUGGUCAGAAUAUGAAGUUUGGAAGACCCUAUAUUCCUGCAGAUCCUUGGAUUGAGGUUAAUUCGAGAGCAAGCCGUGAGUGAGAAAUCUGCCAUCAAAACCAAGUCACUGGCCCUACCACAUUUGCUACAACUCUGAUAUUCCACAUUUUACAAAGGUAAAGGAAUUGAGCCUUUAUGAUUCUCAUCCAUAUGAGGUUUAUCCAAAAUAAGGGAAUCCAGGAGCUGAGCAAUUAGCUGUGCACCUUAUCUUACUUGCUUUCUUACUUUCUACUUUCCCAAGGUAUCAACACCUUUGUCUACUUUCUACCUUUAUAAUUUAUUCUUUUGACUCUUGAAGACAUAUGGUCUUCAAUAAUCUUUAUUUAAAAAAAAAAUAUCCAGGCACUUUGAGGGUCUGAGGUGGGCAGAUUGUCUGAGGUCAGGAGUUUGAGAUCAGCCUGGCCAACAUGGCAAAAUACUAUCUCUAUUAAAAAUAAAGAAAAUUAGCUGGGCAUGGCGGCGCAAGCCUGUAAUCCCAGCUACUCGGGAACCUGAGGCAGGAGAAUCGCUUGAGUCUGGAAGGCGGAGGUUGCAGUGAGCGGAGAUCACGCCACUGCACUCCAGCCUGGGCAACAGAGUGAAAUUUUGCCUCAAUAAAACCCCACAAAAAAAAGAAACAAAAAGCCAGGCUGGGCAGUGGUGCAAACCGGUUUUCAUGGCUACUUGAGAGGCUGAGUCCUGGGCAAGAAGAUCCCUUGAGCCAGGAGUUCAAGUCCAGCCUGGGCAACAUGGCAAGUCCCUGUCUCUUAAAAAACAACAACAACAAAAAAUAACCAUGAGCCUUAAAUGCCCAACACAAUACUUGCAUAUUAAUAUUCUUCAGUUCUCCAUAUUCUAGACAUAGUGCUAGAUAUUGUUCAUGACUUAGCUGUCACAAAUAAUCAAAGACAGAAUUUGAGGAAGGAUGGAGGAGGUUAUAGGAGAGGCAAAAAUGUCCUUAAGAAAAGAGGAACAAGUGCUUCAAGACAAUUUUGCAUAGCACAGACACAGCACUUAGUAGUCCCUAUACCUCCCGUUUUGGCUUUUUCAAACCCAAAUUCCCUACAAAAUCCAGAGGAUCAACAAAGGCGCUUGUCUCAUCAUCUCCCUUCUAUGCUCAGUUGACUGCAGGAGUCCUCAUUGCCUGCAGUGUCUGCCCCACAGUGGGUUCUGAAAGACAGUAAUAGUCUCAUGAAAUGCCGUGGAAUUAAAAGAUUCAGUGAUCCAAAAACUAUGGGGGAACACUGAAAGCUGUAUCUCUCUCUUAGAGAUUUACAAUACAUGCUAGUAUUUUAAGGACUCUGGAAAAUCCUGGUAAAAAGGACUCUGUAUAAAAUGUGUUCAGCUGAGUUUCUUAAGGUGACUAUGGAGCCGUUGUAUUAAGGCCCAACCAGGAAGCACAAUUUGGGAAAUCCUGACCUUUAGGUGGAAGGGCACAUGCAUUAGCAUGGCCGUCAAAGCCCCCCACUCCACACUAGCCUCCCUCAUGCCUCUGCUCCCCAGCUUUGUACCUUGCUCUUCAGCAAGACUGAAUUUGCUAUCCUCUGACCACACACGCAGCUGGGUUCCACUGCCAACAUUCUUGCAAGCUGCCUUUUCUACCAUGAGUGCUCUGCCCCAUGCCAUGGGCCUGCCCCUCCUACUUACAGGCUUACUUCAGCUGGUUUAGGUGUUCUGUGGCCCUUCCUGAGAAGCUCUUGUGAGACUUCUUGUGUGUGAAUACUGCCUCUGCCAUUCACUCAGUGUGACCUUGGGCGAGUCACUUAACAUCUUUGCCUCUCAGCAUUAUCCACACAGUGAGGGUAUAAACAGUACCUACCUCAUGGGGUUAUGGAGAGGACUGACUUCAUCAAUACAUAUAGCGAGCUUAGAGCCAGGCUCCACACAUGGUUAAGUACUCAUAGGAUGUCAUGAAUGCUGUGGUCCCCUGUGCAUGUCUUUACCAUUGCACACUGUUGUAUUAUCCUUAUCUCCUUAUGCAUCUAUAUUCCCCAUCCAAUUAUAUUCUACUUGAACAUUAGGGCUGUGUACUAUUUAUCUUUUUUUUUGAUCUUUGGUGUCUAGCACAUAGUAGGCAAUCAAUGAAAUCCAAUAAUGACUUUAUCUAAUAAAAAUUGAUCAAACUUAAUGAAAUAUGUUAAACCUAUGGUCUGGGUAAACUUGGAAUAUUUUAUAGUGCUAGAAAAUCUCAGCUACGGCCACUGAGGUGAGCUAUCUGUUUAUAAUUUGCUUAUAGUAAUACCAAUACCAAAGCACAUAUUCAGUCCACAACCAUCUGUUUCAACAUGUUAGUGCACAUAUGAGGAAGCUAAUGUUGCCUUCAGAAAUUGCUAGGGGAGAUAAAAAAAAAAGUAUGAGACAAUUUCUCUGGUCUCUUUCAUCUAUAAAAGUCUGUGGUCCUAUGAUUGAUGAGCCAGCACAGAGCAGAUUAGAAAACUGAAGAACAGUCAGAGUCAAUUUGUAGAUGCCCUUCAAUUUCGUGAUAAGACAAUAGCAGUGAUUAUUGUCUCUUGCUUAUUUGUUCCUUAAUUGGAAGUAAUACAUCGUAAAAUAAAAAGCACAAAUAAUAAAAUCCUUAUUUUAGUUCCUUAUAUUUCUCUUGGCUACAAAUAUUUCUUUUAAUUAAAAAAUAUUAUGCUAAAUUAUUUUUCAGUUGGUUAAUCAUUAGAAUUUAGCAAGUAAUUUUGGUCUACCUUAGUAACGUUUGGAAAUUUGAAGGUGAGAUUGUCUUUAAAUAAAUUAUUUUUGGUUACAAAAUUAAUUGCUGUGUAGAAGUUUGAAAACAAUGCAGUCUUUUGGGGCAGUUUUCUGACUUUUCUGUACUUGAUUUUUUUUCUGACCUUCCAUUAAUAAACUAUUUUAUCAUAAUUUAUGUUCUUAAUGUCAAUAUAUUUAACACAUUUCCCAAAAU